GAGUGAGUUCAAGGAGAUAAACAGGGUUCUGUUUGGAGGGGAGGGACAGCAACAGCAAGGCCAGGAGAGUCAGCAAGAGGGAGUGAUUGUGGAACUUGAAAGAGAACAGAUUCGCGAACUGAUCAAACAUGCCAAAUCUAGUUCAAGGAGAGCCCUUUCCUCCCAAGAUGAACCAAUCAACCUGAGAAACCGCAAACCCAUCUACUCCAACAAAUUUGGAAGGUGGUAUGAGAUCACCCCGGAGAAAAACCCCCAACUUAGGGACAUGGACAUGUUCAUCAGUUCUGUGAAUAUGAAAGAGGUAACAGGAAGGAAAACCAUAUCACUGUCGUCUUAAUUAUAAAAUCUUAGUACCGAUGCAAUAAUUAAAUAAUGGUUUCUUUUUUAAAAACUUUAUUAGGGAGGCCUUCUUCUGCCACACUACAAUUCUAAGGCCAUAGUGAUUCUGGUGAUUAAUAAAGGAGAAGCAAACCUUGAACUUGUUGGGCAAAGAGAACAAGAACAAGAGGAAAGCUGGGAAGUGCAGAGGUAUAGAGCUGAGUUGUCUGAAGACGAUGUAUUUAUAAUUCCAGCAACAUAUCCUGUUGCUAUCAACGCUACCUCCAAUCUAAAUUUCUUUGCUUUCGGUAUCAAUGCUGAGAACAACCAGAGGAACUUCCUUGCAGGUAUAUUAUAUGAUAUAUCUCCCUCAAAUUUGAAUACAGUGUUGUUUGUUUUAUGCGACAUGAUGAGUUUGUUGAUUUACGUUUGAAGGUGAGAGAGACAAUGUGAUAAGCGAGAUACCUACAGAGGUGUUGGAUGUGACGUUCCCUGCGUCUGGUGAGAAGGUUGUGAAGCUGGUAAAGAAGCAGAGCGAAUCCUACUUUGUGGAUGCACAGUCUGAGCAAUAAAUAUGAAGUGAAAUGUAUGUAUGGUGGAAGAGCUCAUAUAUAGAGAGCAUGGAAAUAUGUAUCGGCCAUGUAGCAAUAAAUGAGCUCCAGCUCACUUCUUGAAUGAAUAAUAAAGGGUAUAUUUAUUUUUAUAUAUUCCUUUUCUUUAUAAAUACAAUGUUGAAAUUUUUAAUAACCA
rnacentral:lncRNA from 1 species